CCAGGCACCCCUGGUUUGUUUUUUAAGAAUCCAUUUUGUAGAAAAAGAGGCAACCACGGAUUCUUCUCUCGGUUGGCAAGGCAAGGAGAAGGGGCCCCUUUGCCCUCUCUUCCUAGACAACUUGUCCUGAAAAUGGAACAAGUAGUCCUUCCAGCUCCAUGGGUGCAGUGAGGCUUGAGCAGGGCGCUGUGUGCAGAGGAGCUGGGCCAUGGCCAGCACUAAGUGCUCACAAAUGUCAUCACUACGACCGAUCGCUGACCUAGCAGGGGCUUUGUGACCUCACGUGACAGACGUGUUUCGCUGGGAGUGUUUUCCCAGUGGCAAGUUUGGGGAGGAUGCAGAGGUUGGACACACACGUGCUCACACACGUACGGUGGCAAGUUCAGUUAUGUGUAUAUCUACAUUAUACCUUCAUAACUACGAGGAGAUGUUCAUCAUAACAUUAUUUGGGAUAGCAAACGAUGAAACAAUUACUGGAAACAAUCUAAAUAACCGCAAAGUUGGGCAUUCAUCAAAUAGUGUGUGUCACAUCCAAACAAUGGAAUACAAUGUAACCAUUAAAAAGAAGGAGGUUUUCCAGUAUUAACAUGGAAAAACAUCUGUGAUUUAUUGUUAGGUUUACAAAAGCAAGUUAAAGACUAUAGUACGUAACUCAUUAAAAAAAAAUCAAACAUCUUUUUAAGGAUCUGUAUCUACACUCCUAAAUCCAGGUGAAACCUGUGCCUGGAUGACACAAAACAAUUCCAACAGCAUUCCCUCCGGUGAAUGAAGUGUUAUGGAUUAAUAAAAAUAAUUAUCUACAACACCUAAGCUUUGUGUUUCUAACUUAAAGGGUAAUGAGAUU